rnacentral:rRNA from 1 species
GAUGAACGCUGGCGGCGUGCCUAAUACAUGCAAGUCGAGCGAACAGACGAGGAGCUUGCUCCUCUGACGUUAGCGGCGGACGGGUGAGUAACACGUGGAUAACCUACCUAUAAGACUGGGAUAACUUCGGGAAACCGGCGCUAAUACCGGAUAAUAUAUUGAACCGCAUGGUUCAAUAGUGAAAGACGGUUUUGCUGUCACUUAUAGAUGGAUCCGCGCCGCAUUAGCUAGUUGGUAAGGUAACGGCUUACCAAGGCAACGAUGCGUAGCCGACCUGAUAGGGUGAUCGGCCACACUGGAACUGAGACACGGUCCAGACUCCUACGGGAGGCAGCAGUAGGGAAUCUUCCGCAAUGGGCGAAAGCCUGACGGAGCAACGCCGCGUGAGUGAUGAAGGUCUUCGGAUCGUAAAACUCUGUUAUUAGGGAAGAACAAAUGUGUAAGUAACUAUGCACGUCUUGACGGUACCUAAUCAGAAAGCCACGGCUAACUACGUG